AGUGAAGCUGCAUCAGGGGUAUCCCCAGCAGCUACUCAAGCACAUGGGAGACUCAGGCCUUGAGAACAGUUGGUGUGAGCAGCCCCAGACGACUUCACCAUCAUAUUUCUAGGUUUGGUGUACUGUUGUGAGCACAAGUUAGGUAGAGCACGUGUGGGAGUCACCCUCCCAGGAUACACUAAGGAUGCAGUGUAUACAUUACCUAUAUUGUUCACUAGAAAAAAUGGAAGUUCAUGAAAAUAACUGCUCUGCAAGUUUAAUCUGAAGACUCUCUAAACCUUGAAGUCCAUGAGGUUGGUGGAAGGCUUACACAGUCUUCAGGAGGAGUUGUAUUCUUUUAUAGCCCAGUCUUAUGAAAACUGUCAUUGAACAUAAAAUCAUAAACAAAGGUGUCUUGCUCCCUCUGGAUCUUGAGAUGGUAUUUCACAGGGAGCAGGGGAUUUUUUCCAACUGAUAUAACUGUGCUGAGGUCAAUCGGAUUUUUUUGCAGCAAUGGUUAGAACAAGUUUAUCAUGGGGUGUAAUGCAAUAUGUUUUUAUGAGUACUCUUAUCUCAGAAACGCUUCCAGCUGACAUAGUGGUAGCUAAAGGACAUACUCUAAAAGAAAAGGAAACAGGGAAUAUUUCUUCUAAAAGGACAGGACUUAAAACUUGUGCCACUUAAUUUAACUGCAUAUGGGAAACCUGUGAAUCUUUGAGGAACAAAGUUACGUUGAUAAACCUUGGUAGAGAAGGAUAAGGGAAAAGAUCAAGAAAGGUUUAAAAACAUAUAUGCUUUCCUAGGCAGAGAUCUGAAUGUGGAGGUUGAUGAAAGCAAAACUGACACAUCUGUGAGAAGCACUAGCCAUAUACUUGUCAAAGAAGCAUCCUGCUAUAUAAACCACAGUGUUCUUGGAACCUGUAAUAGGCUGUAAGAAUAAAUUUAAGUUAAUUUCAGUUGUUCCUUCAAAAGAAAGGACAGAAUAUCAUUUUAUAUUUGUUAAAAAUUGAUACAGACUAUGAAGGAGAAUGGGUAUUUCAGAGAAAUUCCAAUGGGAUGCCAUUACCUCUCACUGCUAAUAUAUCAGUCCAAAGCCAGGAAUGGCUGAUAGCAACUGGAAAUGAUGCUGUUGUGUCCAUGCAUAACAUUUGCUAGCUUUGUUGCAAAACAAAAAAUACAAAUCAAAAGCACUUGUCAAAGACAUGAACUACACACGUUGAAGACAAGGAAAACACAUCUCCAAGUAUCUCUCAAGUUCACUGCCUUUCCUCCUAAUCCUCAAAACGUGCCACUGGAAUAAGGGCCAGGCAGAGAAAGGAAGAAUCAAUAGGAGAUAAGGAAAGCUAAUUCAAAAAUUCAUCUCUCAUCCUCAGUGAGAAUAGCAAGUUAUCAGUUCUUGCAGGGGAGACGGGCAUCACGUAGACUCAAACCACUGAGUGGUAUAAAUCAAAACUGACUACUUUAAAUGUCAUCCACAUACCAACUGGCAGAGAGUGAGAAAUACUAAGCCCAGUUGCAAUGUCUUCUCUGCCUGAAAUGUGUGGCUUAAGAAACUGGUGCACUUAAAAUAUAGUGUGUAGAUAAAUAUGGUAAAGACUACCUCAGAACUAUCUUCUUUCCAAGUGAAAAUGACUGAAAGUACAUGCGACAGCUAUGGUUACCCAUACAUUUGGAGGUAGCUGGGACCCCAAAGAAACCCAGGUUGUGAAGCUUAACAGAUGGAUCCUACUACCCAGAAG